UACGGAGGGGGCUAGCGUUGUUCGGAAUUACUGGGCGUAAAGCGCACGUAGGCGGACCAUCAAGUUGGGGGUGAAAUCCCGGGGCUCAACCCCGGAACUGCCUCCAAAACUGCUGGUCUGGAGGUCGAGAGAGGUGAGUGGAAUUCCGAGUGUAGAGGUGAAAUUCGUAGAUAUUCGGAGGAACACCAGUGGCGAAGGCGGCUCACUGGCUCGAUACUGACGCUGAGGUGCAAGAA
rnacentral:rRNA from 1 species